AGUGCUGACAAAGGUCACUUAACGUUCCGACUAGUUGAGGGACAAGUUCAAGAGACAUGGAAGGUUGGCAUUGAUGGCAUGCAAGUUGGUGGCAAACGUAGACUCACAGUUCCACCAUGGGUGAGUACAAAGGAAGGAAGAGGUGAGAAAAUUCCACCAAACUCGUGGCUGGUUUUUGAAGUUGAAUUGGUUAAAGUCAGGUAAUCGGUUGGCUUCAUACGCCAGUUUUGUUGAGGCA